GAUGAACGCUGGCGGCGUGCCUAAUACAUGCAAGUCGAGCGAACAGACGAGGAGCUUGCUCCUCUGACGUUAGCGGCGGACGGGUGAGUAACACGUGGAUAACCUACCUAUAAGACUGGGAUAACUUCGGGAAACCGGAGCUAAUACCGGAUAAUAUAUUUAACCGCAUGGUUCAAUAGUGAAAGACGGUUUUGCUGUCACUUAUAGAUGGAUCCGCGCCGCAUUAGCUAGUUGGUAAGGUAACGGCUUACCAAGGCGACGAUGCGUAGCCGACCUGAGAGGGUGAUCGGACACACUGGAACUGAGACAAGGUCCAGAAUCCUACGGGAGGCAGCAGUAGGGAAUCUUCCGCAAUGGGCGAAAGCCUGACGGAGCAACGCCGCGUGAGUGAUGAAGGUCUUCGGAUCGUAAAACUCUGUUAUUAGGGAAGAACAAAUGUGUAAGUAACUAUGCACGUCUUGACGGUACCUAAUCAGAAAGCCACGGCUAACUACGUG
rnacentral:rRNA from 1 species